GACGAACGCUGGCGGCGUGCUUAACACAUGCAAGUCGAACGGAAAGGCCCUGCUUUUGUGGGGUGCUCGAGUGGCGAACGGGUGAGUAACACGUGAGUAACCUGCCCUUGACUUUGGGAUAACUUCAGGAAACUGGGGCUAAUACCGGAUAGGAGCUCCUGCUGCAUGGUGGGGGUUGGAAAGUUUCGGCGGUUGGGGAUGGACUCGCGGCUUAUCAGCUUGUUGGUGGGGUAGUGGCUUACCAAGGCUUUGACGGGUAGCCGGCCUGAGAGGGUGACCGGCCACAUUGGGACUGAGAUACGGCCCAGACUUCUACGGGAGGCAGCAGUGGGGAAUAUUGCACAAUGGGCGGAAGCCUGAUGCAGCAACGCCGCGUGCGGGAUGACGGCCUUCGGGUUGUAAACCGCUUUCGCCUGUGACGAAGCGUGAGUGACGGUAAUGGGUAAAGAAGCAUCGGCUAACUACGUG
rnacentral:rRNA from 1 species